rnacentral:rRNA from 1 species
AACGAACGCUGGCGGCAUGCCUAACACAUGCAAGUCGAACGAGACCUUCGUGUCUAGUUGCGCACGGGUGCGUAACGCGUGGGAACCUUCCCUUAGGUUCGGAAUAACUCCCCGAAAGGGGUGCUAAUACCGGUUAAUUUCUUCUGACCAAAGGUUUAUCGCCUUUGGAUGGGCCCGCGUUGGAUUAGCUAGUUGGUAGGGUAAAAGCCUACCAAGGCGACGAUCCAUAGAUGGUCUGAGAGGAUGAUAAGCCACACUGGGACUGAGACACGGCCCAGACUGCUACGGGAGGCAGCAGUGGGGAAUAUAGGAAAAUGGGCGAAAGGAUGAUCCAGCAAUGCGGGGUGAGUGAUGAAGGCCUUAGGGUAGUAAAGCUCUUUUACACGGGAUGAUAAUGACAGUACCGGGAGAAUAAGCACCGGCUAACUACGUG